rnacentral:rRNA from 1 species
UUCCGGUUGAUCCUGCCGGAGGCCACUGCUAUUGGGAUCCGACUAAGCCAUGCGAGUCGAGAGGGUUCGGCCCUCGGCAGACUGCUCAGUAACACGUGGAUAACCUAACCUUAGGUGGAAGAUAACCUCGGGAAACUGAGAAUAAUAUUCCAUAGAUCUAGGAUGCUGGAAUGCAUCUAGAUUGAAAGUUCCGACGCCUAAGGAUGGGUCUGCGGACUAUCAGGUUGUAGUCAGGGUAAAGACCUGACUAGCCUACGACGGAUAUGGGUUGUGAGAGCAAUAGCCCAGAGACGAUAUCUGAGACACGAUAUCGGGCCCUACGGGGCGCAGCAGGCGCGAAAUCUUCACAAUGUGCGAAAGCACGAUGAGGGGAUCCCAAGUGCUGGCACGUAAGUGUCAGCUGUUUCUUAGUCUAAAAAACUGAGAGAGUAAGGGCUGGGUAAGACGGGUGCCAGCCGCCGCGGUAAUACCUGCAGCUCAAGUGGUGGUCGCUAUUAUUGGGCCUAAAACGUCCGUAGCCUGUUUAGUAAAUGCUUGGGUAAAUUGUGUAGCUUAACUAUACGAAUACCGGGUAGACUGCUAAACUUGGGACCGGGAGAGGCUAGAGGUACUCCUGGGGUAGAGGUGAAAUUCUGUAAUCCUAGGGGGACCACCAGUGGCGAAGGCGUCUAGCUAGAACGGGUCUGACGGUGAGGGACGAAGCCCUGGGGCGCAAACCGGAUUAGAUACCCGGGUAGUCCAGGGUGUAAACGCUGCUUGCUUGAUGUUAGUUGGGCUCCGAGCCCAACUAGUGUCGGAGAGAAGUUGUUAAGCAAGCUGCCUGGGAAGUACGGUCGCAAGACUGAAACUUAAAGGAAUUGGCGGGGGAGCACAGCAACGGGUGGAGCGUGCGGUUUAAUUGGAUUCAACGCCGGG